rnacentral:snoRNA from 1 species
AUCCUCAGGUAGAGAUUAAAACAACAACAAGAACAACAAACAGCACACCAGACUUGCAGGAAAAGCAAACCCCGGAGGAAGCUGAGGCAUGACUGCUCGAGAGCCAGCCUGCCUUGUGCAAUGUUCCUCUGAUAGUUAAAAAA